AGAAACUCUUUGAGCAGUUCCAUAUACAUAUGCGUUUUUAGAAGGAGAAGGAUCAUCUAAAAAAUGGAUGUACUAAAGUGGAUUCCGUGGUUCAGCAAAACUGAUGCCCUUGCUGGAUAUGCAUUCAUUGAUGGAUCUUACAUGAUGUCCUGGCUAGAUAGCUGAGAUUGAUUGUCCUUGAAGUGAAGAGUGAUGCCUUGAAGCUAGAUGUUAUCUGGUC